AACUUAACCACAAAAUGGAUUAGCGACAUGUUUUUGUUGUUUUGUUUCAAAAAGAUGACACUUGAACGACCACAAACAACCAGUUUUAUAGCAUAAAUUUCCUAAUAGUAUUCCUAAACCGUAAACCAUAUUUCUUUUAUUAUACUAGUAAAUAUGGGAUUACAAAUGCAGUCAAAUUACAAUCUCAAAUACUUUAGAGAUAUGGGCAUUUAUCGUCUUUGGGUCACAGUACGCUUGGUAGUACAAGGUUCUUGCGACACUUAGGAACGUCUGCUUCAGAUCCUGUUCAAGACCAUCGGGUGAGUCGCCCAAUACAAGUUGCACCAGCUCUUGCAUUUCCGAAUCUAUCAUAGUGUAAUUUCUAACCCCAUUGUCACAUGUGGUGCGGUUCUCCUACAAGUUAUGGAACUUAGAUAAUUCAAGACAAAUGUUGUUAGUGACAGUUGAGAGUCGUUGAUAUUGAGGAU
rnacentral:lncRNA from 1 species